rnacentral:tRNA from 1 species
GUCCCCGUAGAUUAGUGGUUAGAUCAUCACGUUGUGGUUUGCUAAGCGCAUCCGUGGAGACCCAGGCUCGACUCCUGGCAGGGACA